rnacentral:lncRNA from 1 species
GGCUGGGGCGGCUUCCACCUGAAUGAGCGCGCAGGCUGGGCUGCUCAGUCUUUGUAAAAAAAGAUGCCAGUCCCCACCAUCUGCUUGUCUGGUUUUCAAGGAGAAUAGAUGUGGCCUUAUCCAACCAAGAGAUGAUUUUUUUUUCUAGGAUCUAAUCAGAGGAGACAACCUCCAAGUAACAUGUAAGAUGAUCUUCCAGGAUAAAUACUGAUUAAAAAAUGAAGACUUCACCAGAAGUGGCAACAACACACCUUUAAUCCCAGCAUUUGGGAGGCAGAGGCCGAAGUAUCUCUGUAAACCAGAGUGCUAUUGACAAUCCCUGAGAAAGAAAGGCCAGUGAAGAGCCUGGGCUGAAGACAUCUGGCAGUUAGUUAGUUCUUCAGUCAACAUGAAUCACAGUGGAACAGCUCUUAGGCCUCUGAGCAGACAGGUCACUCCACACAGACAGACACUGGGAAAGGCUGUCUCCGCUCUGGCUUCAGGAUAGGUCAGCACGGUAGAGGGGAGUGAGCAACAGGCAAAACAUCAAGAAAGGAGGAGGCAAGCCAAGUGGAAACUUUGUAUCUCCAUGAGGGUCUGCUUGCAUCUGACCCAGCCUUUGAUUGGCAGUUGGGGGGGGGGGGGAGUCAAGGAGGUCCGUCAGCAGUGUAAAAGGCACCCCAGGUUCUCUCCAGUGCUUCACUUAAUUUGGAGUCAAAUUACAAGCAUGCUAGUGGGAAUAAUCCCAAGGUUGCUGAGCAGGACCGCAAUAUGGCAAAGUUACUGCGGAGAAAGAGGGACAGCUUUUAAAUGAUAUACAUGCUACGUGCUAAAAGAUAUACAUGGAACGUGAUUCUUUAAACAACAACAACACAUUUCUGAGCUAGCUGGAUCACCCAUAGAAGAAAUUAGAAUGGCUGCUGCCGAGAGAUGGGGGAACGGGUAUGGGUCUGGUCAUCUGAUGUGUCCAUGUCCAGGACAGCGUGCUACAAAGAAGCCUGAAAAUAAAUACUGAGAUGGCCUAGCACCUGGAUGCACAGAACACCAGUUAACCAAAUGUUCAAAAUGCUCGAAAUGCAUAUAUUCUAUACAAGCCUUGCAAAUGAAAAAUAACAAUUGGAGGAAAUUGGGGUACCAACUGUUAACCUCCAGAGUUCAGGGGGAAAACAAGUUAGAUAUCUGCUAAAGUAAAACGGACAAGGUCUACUAGCCAUGCAACAAUUGUAGAAGAUUGUGACCUGAAUCUCAGUGGUUAAAUCUGCCUCCCACCUGCUCAGUGCACAGACGCUCAAUAACCCAAUCAGCCAAGCACACAAGGUGAGAUUAGAGUAUUGGGCCAACCGGCACAGAGGUGGUCCACCACACAGCAAUGGGCCAGCUGCCAUUCCCAAGCGUCUGUGCUUUCAACCAUGGCACCAGUUCAGUGCCAAGAUCAGGGAGAAUCCGUUCGCUUUCCCACAGUUCUCCCUCAGCCUUACAGAAUCUCCCACAAGCCACAGCAGAGGACAGACAUUCAAAACCUAAGAGGAAGGGGUUAGCCAGGUCAAGCAUUUUCCACGCAUUGGCUUAAUUCAGCCACACAGCAUCCUACGAGAUCAGUUCAAUGGUUACUCCUUUUCCAGAUGAGGAAGCAGAGACACCGGAAGUGAAGCAGCUGAUUCAACAUGGCUGCUUGACCCACUUCCUAGAGUACCUAGCAACAGGUCCUUCCUUUACAGCAGUGACCACACUCAAAGAACAUGGAAAUGAAUUUGACUGUCUGCUUGCACAUGCCGCCUGAACCAGUCUUCAAUUAAAAAAAAAAAAAAAACUCCACCUCAGUCAGAACAGCUAUCAUCAAGAAAUCUCACAACAAAUGUUGAGAGGACAUGGGGAAAAGGAACACUUAUUAUGGGCGUGGGGUAUAGAUUAAACCACCCAUUAUGGAAGUCAUUUUCCUCAGAAAAGUAAAAAAUCUUCCAGAUGACCCAGUUAUCCCAGUCCUGAGCAUAUACCCAGAGUACUCCAUGUCAACCUAGAUAUCCAUCGACUGAAGAAUGGACAGUGAGAACUUGCUGUAUUAUAAAAUGGGGUAUUAUUCAGCUCUAAAGAAAAAUAAAAUCAUAGA